rnacentral:rRNA from 1 species
GGAUGCGAUCAUACCAGCACUAAUGCACCGGAUCCCAUCAGAAACUCCGAAGUUAAGCGUGCUUGGCGAGAGUAGUACUAGGAUGGGUGACCCCCUGGGAAGUCCUCGUGUUGCAUCCC